GUCUGCCUGCAUUGUAGGCAAUAUUCAACGGUUUGCUCAGUUUCCCCCCUCAAUGAGUUGUAGUGCGUCCAUUGCAAUGAAUUGGUGUCGAAGACAAGCAGGGUGUGGUGUCCGCCAUCCGUUAUUGCUGCAGAUUAUUUGAAAGGAAAGAGUACCUUUAUCUGGUUGUUCUUUAGAUGAUGAAGCUUCGCGCUGAGUUCUUGAAGACUCCAUUUGACAGCAGCUGGUGUCAUUUGUUCUCUUCCAGGAAUUGGAGU